rnacentral:rRNA from 1 species
CCAAUAGCGUAUAUUAAAGUUGUUGCAGUUAAAAAGCUCGUAGUUGAAUUUCGGGAUCAAUAUGUCGGUCGUGCCUUCGGUACGUACUGGCAUCAUUGGUUUCUCCCUUCUGACAAACCAUGAUGUCAUUAAUUUGGUGUUAUGGGGAGUUAGGACUGUUACUUUGAAAAAAUUAGAGUGUUUAAAGCAGGCAUUAGCUUGAAUACAUUAGCAUGGAAUAAUGAAAUAGGACGUUUGACCCUAUUUUGUUGGUUUUUAGGAUCGACGUAAUGAUUAAUAGGGAUAGUUGGGGGCAUUAGUAUUCAAUUGUCAGAGGUGAAAUUCUUGGAUUUAUUGAAGACUAACUACUGCGAAAGCAUUUGCCAAGGAUGUUUUCAUUAAUCAAGAACGAAAGUUAGGGGAUCGAAGACGAUCAGAUACCGUCGUAGUCUUAACCAUAAACUAUGCCGACUAGGGAUCGGAUGAUGUUAAUUUUUUAAUGACUCAUUCGGCGCCUUACG